CCUGGCGGCAGUAGCGCGGUGGUCCCACCUGACCCCAUGCCGAACUCAGAAGUGAAACGCCGUAGCGCCGAUGAUAGUGUGGGGUCUCCCCAUGCGAGAGUAGGGAACUGCCAGGC
rnacentral:rRNA from 2 species